CAAGCGUUUAGAGAUCCUGAGACCUCAUCCUCUGAGACGAUCAUCACCAUGUUUGCUGUGAAAGCAGUUUGCCUUCUCACCACCAUCGCUCUGCUUGUUGCAAUGGUGUCUGCGGAAGCUCCGAAUAAGAGAUGCGGUGGUUUGUCCAGCAUGUUCUGUCUCAACUAAUAAAGAUGAAGAGACGUCAAGCAUCUACUGAAGACUUUAAUCACUAAAAAUACUCUGUAGUCAAUUUUAAUAAAGUAGUCAUGCAUACCU